rnacentral:lncRNA from 1 species
AAACUUGUGUUCAUGGGAAAGGGACUACCAAAUUAUUCUGCAGAUUUCACAGCCAACUUAACAUUCACAAUCUCUAAUGUCAUCAACCUUCAUCAGGUACGAAUUCCAUUAGUUUCUAUCUUAGGAUUUGAACUUUGCACACUCUUUUUAUUUAUCUAAAAGCAUGAUGGUGGUAUAAACUGUUACAUCUUUCAUGGAGUGAGCUAUUUGCAUUCAGUGCUCAGUUGAAAGGUUGGUAUAACAAGGAUGAUGUGGCUGCUGAGUGGAAGAAAGUGAAAGAGACCACGUUUCUGAACGUGCACUGUAAUGUAGGCGGUCCGAAUCUCUUGCUGCGGAGUUUAGAUAACCACAUUUUCUCCGAGGAGCUGCCUUUGCUAAGUUUUCCUCCAUUGAAUCAGGAAAAGAAUAGGACUAAACGAUGAUUAGGAAAUUUAGAAAUCGGCUUUGACGUUUUCGACUUGGGAGUCUUAAAUUAUCAUAUUUGUGAUCUCAAUAUGAACUUGCUCCUUCAUUUAGCCAUUUCAUAGACAGAUUUUCUUUUUCUUUCGGCAUGCUGUGUUUUGACAGUGCUAGCGACAUUCUCAUGGCAAUGUUGUGUUGCAACAUAAGCCAGGUACUUAAAGCUGUGCUGCAUGGAGAUUCAGUCCUUUUCGCAAAUCACCUGGAGCUAACGAACGCUGGAUGAUUAAGCUCGAUUAUUGAACCAAGGUCUUCUUUUUUUUAAUCUCAGAUAUCGUAGCAUUAUUUGAAACAACAUUAUUGGAAAGUACCCUUGUUUAUGUUCAACCAAGUUAACUGCAGAAAGUUCCUCUCUCUAACAGCAAAGUGCGGAAGAAGUUCAAAAUCCAUCUUUCAAGCACUGUGGACCUUCCUUCUUUAAUCCGUGACUCGAAACAAGGGGUCCAUUUCAUUAAAGGAUUUUUCUUCCGGUUCUGUUUGUGAUUGAUUGAUUAAGAAAUGUAAAU